UACGUAGGGGGCAAGCGUUGUCCGGAUUUAUUGGGCGUAAAGAGCGUGUAGGCGGCCAGGUAGGUCUGCUGUGAAAACUCGAGGCUCAACCUCGAGAUGUCGGCGGAAACCAUCUGGCUAGAGUCCGGAAGAGGAAAGUGGAAUUCCCGGUGUAGCGGUGAAAUGCGCAGAUAUCGGGAGGAACACCGGUGGCGAAGGCGGAUCUCUGGGCCUUACCUGACGCUGAGGAGCGAAAGCAUGGGGAGCAAACAGG
rnacentral:rRNA from 1 species